AUCUUCUGAAAGUUUACAACAAUUUUUAGAUGAACAAUCAUUUUAUAUCCACCUUCUAGAAGCAUACAAGGGUAAAAUGGUCAUUUUACUAUCAUUAACAAGGGUAAAAUGUGCCCCAUCUCAUUUUACAUCUAAAUUUCUCCUCUCACCUUAUAAGACCAAACAAAUAUGUCGAACAUUAGAUAUUAAAUGCCCUAAACAAAGAACGCUAUCAUGCAUAUAUUAUAUGCAUCCAUUUAAGCUAAAAUAAUUGAGUUAAAUUACUUAAUCUAAUAAGCUAUAUAUGAUAUAUAUGGAUAUUUUGUUUUGACUUAAUGCAAAAAAAGAACAAUUUAAUAGUGAAAGUAUACCAUAUGUAUGAUAAUCUGGCAUCUGUUUAAUAGUAGUGACUUCAAGGCUUUCAGGAAGGAGACAACUGAAAAGGGCACCUGGAAACAGUCAUCCAAAACCCGUAAAUUUUUGAUACAUUGGAGCAUAUUUCACAAUCAUUAAAUCCAAAUUUCGUUUGCAACACAUCAUUAGUUCAUUUUGAAAAAGGAUAAAGUUAGCAACUUUGAUGCAUAAAAAAGCAAAUCCCAAAUCAAAUCAUCAUUAUCAUGAUACAAAAAUGUAUUUUUUGAGUGAAGAAAAGGAAACGAACCUAUUUUUGCGAGCCGGUUGACCCACCCGGGAAUCCGUUUACCGGUUAUCCGUUGAGAGAUAUCAUCUGAAAAAUGGUUGCAAUUCUUGGAAAUGAGGUGAUAAGUAUCGCCAUGGUAGUCGGAAGCCAUGGCCUCGAUGAAUUCCCUAAACUCUGAAGCCGACAUGCUUAAAUGCCCUAAUGAAAUUGAACAUCUGUAGCUAAAACCCGGGCAGCUCUUCGGUUCAACUUCGAACACCCCGCUAAUUGAAUAAUCGUGGGCUCCAAAUCCAUAUUCCAUACCAUAAACUGCAACAAUUGAAGAGAAACAUUCAAGAAUUAAAACCCAAAACGAUAAUCUGUCCAAAUUGACGAAAAUUGAAAUGGGAUUAGAUGAGAUUGUUACCUUCGAUACCAGUAUGGAAAACACCAAAUCCUAACCAGAUGCUGUAAGAAUUAAGAGGGGUAAGAUCAUAUACAUUUAAGAACACCUCUCUAUCUAUAAAUCCAUCAUUUGUUCCUAUGAUUGAGCAGUUUGGUGAUAAGGUGUUACCCACCCCCAUUUUCGAUCUCUUAUAUCGAUUCGGAAGAACCGAUUGAAGAAGAAGAUGAAGCAAGAAAGAAAAAAACCCCUUUAAUUGCAGGAAUGGGUUGUUCCUGGGUCGCAUUAAUAUUUGUCCCCAGAAACACACACACACCGACCAAAAGGGGUUCUCCCUCUCCGG